rnacentral:Y_RNA from 10 species
GUUUGAACCAAUGGUAGUAGGUUAUCAGAACAUACCAGUGCCACUAAGUUGAUAUACAACCCCCACUGCUAAAUUUGACUGGCUUAA